CGCUAUCACUCCUACGGGAGGCAGCAGUGGGGAAUAUUGCACAAUGGGGGAAACCCUGAUGCAGCCAUGCCGCGUGUGUGAAGAAGGCCUUCGGGUUGUUAAAGCACUUUCAGUAGGGAGGAAGGUAGUGUAGUUAAUAGCUGCAUUAUUUGACGUUAGCGACAGAAGAAGCACCGGCUAACUCCGUGCCAGCAGCCGCGGUAAUACGGAGGGUGCGAGCGUUAAUCGGAAUUACUGGGCGUAAAGCGCAUGCAGGUGGUUUGUUAAGUCAGAUGUGAAAGCCCGGGGCUUAACCUCGGAAUUGCAUUUGAAACUGGCAGGCUAGAGUCUUGUAGAGGGGGUAGAAUUUCAGGUGUAGCGGUGAAAUGCGUAGAGAUCUGAAGGAAUACCAGUGGCGAAGGCGGCCCCCUGGACAAAGACUGACGCUCAGAUGCGAAAGCGUGGGGAGCAAACAGGAUUAGAUACCCUGGUAG
rnacentral:rRNA from 1 species